GACGAACGCUGGCGGCGUGCUUAACACAUGCAAGUCGAACGGAAAGGCCCCUUUGGGGGUACUCGAGUGGCGAACGGGUGAGUAACACGUGAGUAACCUUCCCUUGACUUCGGGAUAACUUCAGGAAACUGGGGCUAAUACCGGAUAGGAAUCCUUGCUGCAUGGUGGGGGUUGGAAAGCUUCGGCGGUUUUGGAUGGACUCGCGGCUUAUCAGCUUGUUGGUGGGGUAGUGGCUUACCAAGGCUUUGUCGGGUAGCCGGCCUGAGAGGGCGACCGGCCACAUUGGGACUGAGAUACGGCCCAGACUCCUACGGGAGGCAGCAGUGGGGAAUAUUGCACAAUGGGCGGAAGCCUGAUGCAGCAACGCCGCGUGCGGGAUGACGGCCUUCGGGUUGUAAACCGCUUUCAGCAGGGGCGAAGCUUGUGGUGACGGUACCUGCAGAAGAAGCACCGGCUAACUACGUG
rnacentral:rRNA from 1 species